CGAGAGAGAGCUGGCUUCUUAGCUACACUUUAGGAUGUCGCGUCGAAAGCAGACAAAGCCGAGUCCUUUGGAAGAUCAUGAAAUUGACCUUGACAUUUCAAGAAUUCCAUCUCCCUACAUGAAAGAUGUGGAGGAAGAAAGAUUACUGCAGGACGAUUGCGAGUAUCACAGUGAAACCUCAGAGAGAGAAAAGAAGAAAAUAAUGGAGUCCCAGAAACUUUCUCUGCUGGAACUCAUGAAGAAACAAAUCACAGUCAAGAGACAAAGGGAUUUCUUGGACAGCGAUGAGGAGUCUGUUGUUUCCUAUAAACUUUACCAGGAACUCCAGGAUAGUUAUGUCAUGCUAAAAAAACGUCUUAGAGAGAAGGACUUGAUCAUUGCAGAGAAGGACGCUGCAAUUAGAAAACUGAGCGAAAAGUGCCGAAGGAUGACGGUAGAGCUGGACAAAAUCAGACAGUUGAAUAUUUGCCUGCAAGAACAACUGUUUUUAAAAGAAGAAGGAAUGCAGACACAACACGCAGUUUAUACAGAAAGCACAGAAUGUUUGUAUGAGCCCUAUGAAAAUGUAUUAGACCUUCCUAAAGUGAAGGACCUUGAAGAAGCCCCAACUGAGGAUCUUGUAGAGAAAGACUUUGGGAGGGUCGAUCUGGGACAUGGGGUCCAUUUGGAGAAACAAAAAUGGAAGGCCAUCCAGCGAAUGGAUUCUCAUUCUAAGUUCUGUAAGUCAUUGGCCGUCGCCAUUUGGGGCCUUGAGACGCUAAAGGAGAGGAGUGUGACCGGUUCUAAAUCUAAUGCCAUUAAAGGAUCUGUAGCGAAGCCUCCGUUAUCACCAGAGAAAGUUGGUGUCAUCAGAGAGUGCCUGAAGGAGCGACUACAGCAGCGUGGCUAUCAGAAGGAGGAGGUUGAUGGACAGCUGCGUUUGGUUCGGCGUUUUCUCUCGGAGAAAAUCUGCGACAUCAAAAGGAAAGUCAAUAUAAAUUUAGAGGGGACCACGCCUUCCACUAGCUCACAAGUUUGUCAGACCUGAAGAUCAAGUACUCAUUUUUAAAGUGCUACAAUAUCGACAACUACACAGGACUGUGAAAAAGUUUGAAGCUAAAAAACUUUCUUCCUAUAGCUAAACAAAGUUGGUUUGUACCAUCAAGUCAACUUCAUUUUACAAUUCAUUUCCAUAAUUUUUGGAAUUAAGUUAAGCUGCUUUGUGAUGACCAUUGACCAGUGACCAUUGUAAUACAGUGGAACCUCGGAUUACGAGUAACGCGGUUUACGAGUGUACCGCAAGACCAGCAAAUUUUUUAAAUAAAUUUUGACCUAAAAAAACGAGCAUUGUCUUGGUUUACAAGUACUGAGUAUCAUGUAUCACGCAUGUGCUUCUUGUUUUGACACAGAGCGUCACAUGAUCACAACUGAGCCAACAGUUUUUCUCUCUCUUGCGCUGCGGAAUUGGGUGUAAUCGUCUCCCCUGCUGGGUCUUAGUGCUCGUCUCUCACUGGUAUAAUCAACAUCUGUGCACGCAUGUACUGUUUACUAUAACACUGUGAACACGUGUGUGUGUGUGUGUGUAAAACAUAUUUUAUUUUGUGUUUGUAAGCGUGUGUGUACAGCGCGCGUGUAUUGUUUAUUAUAACACGUGUGUGCGCUAGUGAUGCGCGGGUCGGGUAUUUUUCCAACCCGUGGGUCCCGCUUUUGUGAAAUUAUUUGGCCCGCCCCAGCCCGCCCCGCACCACUGUAUCUAUUUUUACAACCCGCCCCACCCCACCCCGCGAGCAUUAAAUAGCCAUACUAGGCAUUGUAAUUCAAUUGAAAACAGCCUUUAUUUCAGCCUUAAUGUGCUUGAAAACAUCGACCUGUAAACUGGCAACAACAGAUGAUUAUGAAUAUGAACGUUAAAUCAGGUCAUAUUAAUAACAAGAUAAUGAUACACAGUUUAAACAUUUACAAAGCCACGUUUGUAAUCUAGGCUAAACAUUUUUUAUUUUAGAUUUGUUUAGAUUUUUUUAUUUAGAUUAGAUUUAGGCCUACAGUUUACAGCCUACGCUAAUUAACCACUGACUUUUUUUUUUAUUUAUCACAUGGAAAUGUUCAUUUAGUGUUUUUACGUUCGCUGUGCAAAAAACAUUAGAUUUAGCAGCCUGACCUUUUUUCUUUUAAUGAUGUAAAUUCCCGACCUCAAUUUCUCCCGCACCUCGUCUUCCAUCCUCACUUUUAUUUCUUUGUUUUUGUUGUGACUGGCAGCGGUAGCUGCUUGGCGUGUUCGUGACUUGUCACGUGACGUAACCUUAUCAAAGAAUAAGGUUAUGAAUAUAAAUGAAAAUAAAUAUUGCCAAAUAUUUAAUAUAGGUGAUAGGGAAUUGCACGCAACAUACAUGGAUUUUUUUAAUUAAUUUUGUUAUUAAUGACCCGCCCCGCAAAUGAAGUGACAAUUUUUUUACCCGCCCCAACCCGACCCGCGGGUUACCAGACGACCCGCGCAUUACUAAUGCACGCGUAUAAUGUCUCAUUAGAGGGUAAUGAUCCAUUUUUUUCAUUCUCUGUAUCAGCCUGUUGUGUUUCACCUUACCUUUGAAAAGAAUCGCAACAGAGCAGAGUUUCUGUGUAAGGCAGAGAGUGUGCGUCUGUAUGUGUGUGGGAAGCCGACAGGAGAGGGGGGAUUUUGUAAAGACGAGAGAGAGAGAGAAAGAGAGAGAGCGUGUGUGUGUGUGUGUGUUGGUGAAGGAGCACGGUGUCAAAUUACGCACGCGCACACACACACAUCAGUGAUUCCAUUAGUAUGCACUCACGCGAGUGUGACUAGUGAUAGUGUCAGUAUGGUAAAGCUUUCUUGUUUUUUCUUUAUCUUUAUGGAAGGAGUCUCCCUUGACACAGCUUUUAAACAGCAAGUUUUCUAGCACAGGGAAGACUUAAGAACAAAUCUUUGUAUUAUUUUUUUUUUUUGGUUCCUUAUUACCUUCAAAAAGGAAAAAAAGAGAGGCUGAAGAGAAAAUAAUGGUUUAUAGCUGCUAUAAUAUGCUGUGAUAAACAGAGUUUGCCUGUCUCGACUGUUCCAUGUCAUUAAACACACAUGGAUAUAGUGUGAUGUGUGAUGUGUCUUUGUAAAUAAAUUAAUAAAUUGUGGCUCGUUACUGUGGUGUAAGGGAAAAAAAAUUAUUUUAUGGGAAGAUAAUCAACUUCGGGGCAGGAAUGCAUAACAGAGGGCUCUGCUGUUGAUUACUUUUCUUUAACAACACACCCUGUAAUGUUUUAUUUCUAGCUUUAUUAAUAUUUAUAUGUCAAAUUUAUUAUGUUUAUAUAGUGCACUAUGUAAAUUUGUUCCUUGAUGUUAUUAUUUUAAUAUUACACUUUGUA